rnacentral:rRNA from 1 species
GGUGACGAGCGGCGGACGGGUGAGUAAUGUCUGGGAAACUGCCUGAUGGAGGGGGAUAACUACUGGAAACGGUAGCUAAUACCGCAUAACGUCGCAAGACCAAAGUGGGGGACCUUCGGGCCUCAUGCCAUCAGAUGUGCCCAGAUGGGAUUAGCUAGUAGGUGGGGUAACGGCUCACCUAGGCGACGAUCCCUAGCUGGUCUGAGAGGAUGACCAGCCACACUGGAACUGAGA